UGAUGCUGAUCAGGCUGCAGCAUGUGUGACUCCAUCAAUGGCUAAGGCUGAGCUGGCUGAUCGGGGGGCCAGGCCACCGUCCCUUUUGGCCCUUAUUGAUCAGUGAUCAGCCAUCCAGAAGCUGUGUGCUCUGUCAAAGAGGAUGCCCUUCUCUGACAGAAAGAGCAGUUCGUUGGUCAAGGAUGUACAGACAGCCUAUGAUGCCAUGUAGAAACACAGAUUUGAGCUCCUCUGCCAACAUUGUACUCUGAGUUUUUCUUAAUUUCUGGAAAGUUCAGCACAUUUCU
rfam:Fukomys damarensis contig140473, whole genome shotgun sequence.